UACGUAGGGGGCAAGCGUUGUCCGGAUUUAUUGGGCGUAAAGCGAGCGCAGGUGGUUUAUUAAGUCUGGUGUAAAAGGCAGUGGCUCAACCAUUGUAUGCAUUGGAAACUGGUAGACUUGAGUGCAGGAGAGGAGAGUGGAAUUCCAUGUGUAGCGGUGAAAUGCGUAGAUAUAUGGAGGAACACCGGUGGCGAAAGCGGCUCUCUGGCCUGUAACUGACACUGAGGCCCGAAAGCGUGGGGAGCAAACAGG
rnacentral:rRNA from 1 species